rnacentral:tRNA from 2 species
GGAGGAUUCGCAUAGCGGCCUAGUGCGCACGAUUGGAAAUCGUGUUGGGAUAAAACCCUCGGGGGUUCAAAUCCCCCAUCCUCCGCCA